rnacentral:rRNA from 1 species
CUCUUUGAGUCGUGUGGUAGCGGAGCGUCGAGCGUGCAGCGAAGCGGCGGGACAACCCAGCCGUGGAGCGCGUUCGAGUGCGAAUGUUGGCAUGAGUAGCGAAUGAGGGGUGAGAACCCCCUCCGCCGUAUGUCCAAGGGUUCCUGGGCGAGGCCAAUCCUCCCAGGGUGAGUCGGGAGCUAAGGCGAGGCCGAGAGGCGUAGUCGAUGCACAACUGGUUGAUAUUCCAGUACCACCAUGUUCGCGUCCGUCCCAAUACUCUGUUGCUAAGGGGCUGUGUUGACUUCGGUCAACGCGAACCGACCCACAUUGUUGCGGGAAGCUGUAGGGGGACGCAGGAAGGUAGAUGAACCCGGUGAAUGGUAGAACCGGGGUAAGCGUGUAGGAGGAGGACCAGGUAAAUCCGGGCCUCAUAAACUCUGAGACGUGAUACCGAGCCGCUUCAGGCGAAGUCAUUGAUCCUAUGCUGCCUAGAAAAGCCCAGCAGCGAGUUGACAUGGUGCCCGUACCCCAAACCAACACAGGUGGACAGGUAGAGCAUACCAAGGCGAGUGGGAUAACUAUGGUUAAGGAACUCGGCAAAUUGCCUCCGUAACUUCGGGAGAAGGAGGACCCCAGUAGCGUGAUGAGACUUGCUCUCUGAGCGUGAAGGGGUGGCACAAAAUUGAGGGAAGCGACUGUUUACCAAAAACACAGCAGCGUGCUAAGCCGUAAGGCGCUGUAUACGCUGUGACUCCUGCCCGGUGCUGGAAGGUUACGGGGAUGGGUUAGUCCUUCGGGACGAAGCUCUGAACCUAAGCCCCAGUAAACGGCGGCCGUAACUAUAACGGUCCUAAGGUAGCGAAAUUCCUUGUCGGGUAAGUUCCGACCUGCACGAAUGGAGUAACGACUUCCCUACUGUCUCAACCAUAGACCCAGCGAAAUUGAAGUACGAGUAAAGAUGCUCGUUAGCUGCAGAAGGACGGAAAGACCCCGUGGACCUUUACUAUAACUUGAUGUUGUGUUUUGUCAUAUGUUGUGUAGGAUAGGUGGGAGACUUGGAAGCAUGGACGCUAGUCUGUGUGGAGUCAUCGUUGAAAUACCACCCUGCAUAUGGUGAGGCUCUAACCUAGACCCGUUAUCCGGGUUGGGGACAGCGUCAGGCGGGUAGUUUAACUGGGGCGGUUGCCUCCUAAAGAGUAACGGAGGCGCCCAAAGGUUCCCUCAGCCUGGUUGGCAAUCAGGCGUUGAGUGCAAUGGCAAAAGGGAGCUUGACUGCGAGACCUACAAGUCGAGCAGGAGCGAAAGCUGGGCAUAGUGAUCCGGCGGUUGCGUGUGGAAGCGCCGUCGCUCAACGGAUAAAAGGUACCCCGGG